rnacentral:rRNA from 1 species
CCUACGGGAGGCAGCAGUGGGGAAUAUUGGGCAAUGGGCGCAAGCCUGACCCAGCAACGCCGCGUGAAGGAAGAAGGCUUUCGGUUUGUAAACUUCUUUUAUCAGGGAAGAGUAGAAGACGGUACCUGACGAAUACGCCACGGCUAACUACGUGCCAGCAGCCGCGGUAAUACGUAGGUGGCAAGCGUUGUCCGGAUUUACUGGGUGUAAAGGGCGUGUAGACGGGUUGACAAGUCAGAUGUGAAAGCCUGCGGCUUAACCGCAGAACUGCAUGUGAAACUGUUGCUCUUGAGUACUGGAGAGGUAGACGGAAUUCCUAGUGUAGCGGUGAAAUGCGUAGAUAUUAGGAGGAACACCAGUGGCGAAGGCGGUCUGCUGGACAGCAACUGACGGUGAGGCGCGAAAGCGUGGGGAGCAAACAGGAUUAGAUACCCGUGUAGUC